UACGAAGGGGGCUAGCGUUGCUCGGAAUUACUGGGCGUAAAGCGCACGUAGGCGGACAGAGAAGUCAGAGGUGAAAUCCCAGGGCUCAACCUUGGAACUGCCUUUGAAACUUUUUGUCUUGAGGUCGAGAGAGGUGAGUGGAAUUCCGAGUGUAGAGGUGAAAUUCGUAGAUAUUCGGAGGAACACCAGUGGCGAAGGCGGCUCACUGGCACGAUACUGACGCUGAGGUGCGAAAGCGUGGGGAGCAAACAGG
rnacentral:rRNA from 1 species